ensembl:ncRNA K02A2.8 ncRNA
AGCAGGUUUAAAUAUUCUUGCCUAGAGUAGUUUUUAAAUUGAAAACGUAGUUUCCAUAGUUUGUGGUAACCCGCAUGGGUAUCAGCAUACACUUUUCGCAUUUACGAUGUUGCAAUCGAAAUUGGGAUAGUUAAAUGCAUCUAACCCGUG